GCUCAGAACUCAAAGGAAUUGACGGGGCCCGCACAAGCGUGGAGCAUGUGGUUUAAUUCGAUGAUACGCGAGGAACCUUACCUGGGCUCAAAUGUAUGUUGACGUAUUCUGAAAGGGAUACUUCUUCGGACAAUAUACAAGGUGCUGCAUGGUUGUCGUCAGCUCGUGCCGUGAGGUGUCGGGUUAAGUCCCAUAACGAGCGCAACCCCUAUCAUUAGUUGCCAUCAGGUCAAGCUGGGGACUCUAAUGAAACUGCCUACGCAAGUAGUGAGGAAGGUGGGGAUGACGUCAAAUCAGCACGGCCCUUACGUCCAGGGCUACACACGUGCUACAAUGGCCGGUACAAAGGGCAGCUACCUGGUGACAGGAUGCUAAUCUCAAAAGCCGGUCUCAGUUCGGAUCGGAGUCUGCAACCCGACUCCGUGAAGUUGGAUUCGCUAGUAAUCGCGCAUCAGCCAUGGCGCGGUGAAUACGUUCCCGGGCCUU
rnacentral:rRNA from 1 species